GGCGGAUGAUUAAGUCAGGGGUGAAAGUUUGCAGCUCAACUGUAAAAUUGCCUUUGAUACUGGUCAUCUUGAGUUGUAUUGAAGUAGGCGGAAUAUGUAGUGUAGCGGUGAAAUGCAUAGAUAUUACAUAGAACACCAAUUGCGAAGGCAGCUUACUAAGUACUAACUGACGCUGAUGGACGAAAGCGUGGGUAGCGAACAGGAUUAGAUACCCUGGUAGUCCACGCCGUAAACGAUGGAUACUAGCUGUUCGGGACCUUGAGUUCUGAGCGGCUAAGCGAAAGUGAUAAGUAUCCCACCUGGGGAGUACGUUCGCAAGAAUGAAACUCAAAGGAAUUGACGGGGGCCCGCACAAGCGGUGGAGCAUGUGGUUUAAUUCGAUGAUACGCGAGGAACCUUACCAGGGCUUAAAUGUAGUCUGACAGCUUUAGAGAUAGAGUUUUCUUCGGACAGAUUACAAGGUGCUGCAUGGUUGUCGUCAGCUCGUGCCGUGAGGUGUCAGGUUAAGUCCUAUAACGAGCGCAACCCCUGUCGUUAGUUGCCAGCAUGUCAUGAUGGGGACUCUAACGAGACUGCCGGUGCAAACCGCGAGGAAGGUGGGGAUGACGUCAAAUCAUCACGGCCCUUACGUCCAGGGCUACACACGUGCUACAAUGGUGAGUACAGAUGGUUGCUGCUUGGUGACAAGUUUGCUAAUCUAUAAAACUCAUCUCAGUUCGGAUUGGAGUCUGAAACUCGACUCCAUGAAGUUGGAAUCGCUAGUAAUCGCAUAUCAGCCAUGAUGCGGUGAAUACGUUCCCGGGCCUUGUACACACCGCCCGUCAAGCCAUGGAAGUUGGGAGUGCCUAAAGUCGGAAACCAUAUAGGAUCCGCCUAGGGUAAAACCGAUAACUAGGGCUAAGUCGUAACAAGGUAACC
rnacentral:rRNA from 1 species